rnacentral:rRNA from 1 species
AUUGUGAAGCCGCGAAUGGCUCAUUAUAACAGCCAUUGUUUACUGGAUAUUCUUUACUACAUGGAUAACUGUGGUAAUUCUACAGCUAAUACACGCCUCAAAGCCUCGACUUUAUGAAGAGGUGCGUUUGUUACUUCAAACCAAUCGGACCUUGUCCGAUCUCAAGUGAUAUUGAACAAUUUAGCUGAUCGAACGGUCUAUGAACCGACGACAUAUCCUUCAAACGUCUGCCUUAUCAACUUUCGAUGGUAGAGUAUACGUUUACCAUGGUUGUAACGGGUAACGGAGAAUCAGGGUUUGAUUCCGGAGAGGGAGCCUGAGAAAUGGCUACCACAUCCAAGGAAGGCAGCAGGCACGCAAAUUACCCACUCCCGGCACGGGGAGGUAGUGACAAGAAAUAACAAGCAGGUCUCUAUGAGUUCCUGAUUUGUAAUGGGAACAUCCUAAACAACUUAUCGAGGAUCAAUUGGAGGGCAAGUCUGGUGCCAGCAGCCGCGGUAAUUCCAGCUCCAAUAGCGUAUAUAAAGUUGUUGC